AACGAACGCUGGCGGCAUGCCUAACACAUGCAAGUCGAACGAGACCUUCGGGUCUAGUGGCGCACGGGUGCGUAACGCGUGGGAACCUGCCCUUAGGUUCGGAGUAACUCCCCGAAAGGGGUCCUAAUACCGGAUAAUGUCUUCGGACCAAAGAUUUAUCGCCUUUGGAUGGGGCCGCGUUGGAUUAGCUAGUUGGUAGGGUAAAAGCCUACUAAGGCGACGAUCCAUAGCUGGUCUGAGAGGAUGAUCAGCCACACUGGGAAUGAGACACGGCCCAGACUCCUACGGAAGGGAGCAGUGGGGAAUAUUGGACGAUGGGCGAAAGCCUGAUAAAGCAAUGCCGCGUGAGUGAUGAAGGCGUUAGGGUUGUAAAGCUCUUUUACCCGGGAUGAUAAUGACAGUACCGGGAGAAUAAGCUCCGGCUAACUACGUG
rnacentral:rRNA from 1 species